rnacentral:rRNA from 1 species
GUCGAGCGGUAGAGAGAAGCUUGCUUCUCUUGAGAGCGGCGGACGGGUGAGUCCUGUUUAGGAAUCUGCCUGGUAGUGGGGGAUAACGUUCGGAAACGAUCGCUAAUACCGCAUACGUCCUACGGGAGAAAGCAGGGGACCUUCGGGCCUUGCGCUAUCAGAUGAGCCUAGGUCGGAUUAGCUAGUUGGUGGGGUAAUGGCUCACCAAGGCGACGAUCCGUAACUGGUCUGAGAGGAUGAUCAGUCACACUGGAACUGAGACACGGUCCAGACUCCUACGGGAGGCAGCAGUGGGGAAUAUUGGACAAUGGGCGAAAGCCUGAUCCAGCCAUGCCGCGUGUGUGAAGAAGGUCUUCGGAUUGUAAAGCACUUUAAGUUGGGAGGAAGGGCCAUUACCUAAUACGUGAUGGUUUUGACGUUACCGACAGAAUAAGCACCGGCUAACUCUGUGCCAGCAGCCGCGGUAAUACAGAGGGUGCAAGCGUUAAUCGGAAUUACUGGGCGUAAAGCGCGCGUAGGUGGUUUGUUAAGUUGGAUGUGAAAUCCCCGGGCUCCACCUGGGAACUGCAUUCAAAACUGACUGACUAGAGUAUGGUAGAGGGUGGUGGAAUUUCCUGUGUAGCGGUGAAAUGCGUAGAUAUAGGAAGGAACACCAGUGGCGAAGGGGACCACCUGGACUGAUACUGACACUGAAGUGGGGAAGCGUGGGGGAGCAACAAGAUUAGAUACCCUGGUAGUCCACGCCCGAAACGAUGUUCACUAGGCGUUUGGGAGCCUGAGCUCUUAUGGGGGCACCUAACCCAUAAGUUUGACGCCCUGGGGAGAACGCCGCCAGGUUAAAC